GAUGAACGCUGGCGGCGUGCCUAAUACAUGCAAGUCGAGCGAACAGACGAGGAGCUUGCUCCUCUGACGUUAGCGGCGGACGGGUGAGUAACACGUGGAUAACCUACCUAUAAGACUGGGAUAACUUCGGGAAACCGGAGCUAAUACCGGAUAAUAUAUUGAACCGCAUGGUUCAAUAGUGAAAGACGGUUUUGCUGUCACUUAUAGAUGGAUCCGCGCCGCAUUAGCUAGUUGGUAAGGUAACGGCUUACCAAGGCAACGAUGCGUAGCCGACCUGAGAGGGUGAUCGUCCACACUGGAACUGAGCCACGGUCCAGACUCCUACGGGAGGCAGCAGUAGGGAAUCUUCCGCAAUGGGCGAAAGCCUGACGGAGCAACGCCGCGUGAGUGAUGAAGGUCUUCGGAUCGUAAAACUCUGUUAUUAGGGAAGAACAAAUGUGUAAGUAACUAUGCACGUCUUGACGGUACCUAAUCAGAAAGCCACGGCUAACUACGUG
rnacentral:rRNA from 1 species